rnacentral:rRNA from 1 species
CCUACGGGGGGCAGCAGUGAGGAAUAUUGGUCAAUGGUCGGGAGACUGAACCAGCCAAGCCGCGUGAGGGAUGAAGGUACAGAGUAUCGUAAACCUCUUUUGUCAGGGAACAAAGGCGGGGACGCGUCCCCGGAUGAGUGUACCUGAAGAAAAAGCAUCGGCUACCUCCGUGCCAGCAGCCGCGGUAAUACGGAGGAUGCGAGCGUUAUCCGGAUUUAGUGGGGUUAAAGGGUGCGCAGGCGGUUUGUUAAGGCAGCGGUCAAAGCCCGGGGCUCAACCCCGGCCCGCCGUUGAAACUGGGAGUCUCGAGUUGGAGAGAAGUAUGCGGAAUGCGCGGUGUAGCGGUGAAAUGCAUAGAUAUCGCGCAGAACUCCGAUUGCGAAGGCAGCAUACCGGCUCCAAACUGACGCUGAGGCACGAAAGCGUGGGUAUCGAACAGGAUUAGAUACCCGGGUAGUC